rnacentral:rRNA from 1 species
UGGGGAAUAUUGCGCAAUGGGGGAAACCCUGACGCAGCAACGCCGCGUGAAUGAUGAAGGUCUUCGGAUUGUAAAGUUCUGUCUUCUGGGACGAUAAUGACGGUACCAGAGGAGGAAGCCACGGCUAACUACGUGCCAGCAGCCGCGGUAAUACGUAGGUGGCAAGCGUUGUCCGGAUUUACUGGGCGUAAAGGAUGCGUAGGCGGACAUUUAAGUCAGAUGUGAAAUACCCGAGCUUAACUUGGGUGCUGCAUUUGAAACUGGGUGUCUAGAGUGCAGGAGAGGUAAGUGGAAUUCCUAGUGUAGCGGUGAAAUGCGUAGAGAUUAGGAAGAACACCAGUGGCGAAGGCGACUUACUGGACUGUAACUGACGCUGAGGCAUGAAAGCGUGGGGAGCAAACA